UACGAACUGUGCGAACGUUAUUCGGAAUCACUGGGCUUACAGGGUGCGUAGGCGGCUUGUUAAGUAGGGUGUGAAAGCCCCCGGCUCAACCGGGGAAUUGCGCCCUAAACUGGCGAGCUGGAGUGAGAUAGGGGUGUGUGGAACUUCCGGUGGAGCGGUGAAAUGUGUUGAUAUCGGAAGGAACGCCGGUAGCGAAAGCGACACACUGGGUCUUGACUGACACUGAGGCACGAAAGCCAGGGGAGCAAACGGG
rnacentral:rRNA from 1 species